rnacentral:rRNA from 1 species
GAUGAACGCUGACAGAAUGCUUAACACAUGCAAGUCUUUGGCGAAGCUGUGCUUGCACAGCCUAGCCAAGGCGGACGGGUGAGUAACGCGUAAGGAACUUGCCCUGCAGUCAGGGAUAACAGACGGAAACGACUGAUAAGACCUGGUAAAGUCAGGCGGACUCAUGUCCAGCCUGAUGAAAAGAGAUGCUGCGGGAGAGCCUUGCGUCCUAUUAGCUUGUUGGUGGGGUAACGGCCCACCAAGGCGAUGAUAGGUAGCCGGCCUGAGAGGGUGGACGGCCAAGAGGGGAAUGAGAUACGGCACUGACGACUACGGGAGGAAGCAGUGGAGCAUAAUGGAGAAUGGGGGCAACGCUGAUGCAGCAAUUCUGUGUGCACGAUGAAGGUUUUCGGAGUGUAAAGUGCUUUCAGCAGGGAAGAAAAAAAUGACGGUACCUGCAGAAGAAGCGACGGCUAAAUACGUG